rnacentral:rRNA from 1 species
AUUGAACGCUGGCGGCAUGCCUUACACAUGCAAGUCGAACGGCAGCACGGGUGCUUGCACCUGGUGGCGAGUGGCGAACGGGUGAGUAAUACAUCGGAACGUACCUUAUCGUGGGGGAUAACGCAGCGAAAGCUGUGCUAAUACCGCAUACGCCCUGAGGGGGAAAGCGGGGGAUCGAAAGACCUCGCGCGAUUAGAGCGGCCGAUGCCUGAUUAGCUUGUUGGUGGGGUAAAAGCCCACCAAGGCGACGAUCAGUAGCUGGUCUGAGAGGACGAUCAGCCAGACUGGGACUGAGACACGGCCCAGACUCCUACGGGAGGCAGCAGUGGGGAAUUUUGGACAAUGGGGGCAACCCUGAUCAAGCAAUGCCGCGUGAGUGAAGAAGGCCUUCGGGUUGUAAAGCUCUUUUGUCAGGGAAGAAACACCGGCUCUAACACAGUCCGGGAAUGACGGUACCUGAAGAAUAAGCACCGGCUAACUACGUGCCAGCCGCCGCAGUAA